GAUGCCAUGCAUGUCAGCAUGCUGGAAGGGUUCGACGAGAACCUGGAUGUGCAGGGGGAGUUGAUUCUCCAGGAUGCCUUUCAAGUGUGGGACCCGAAGUCGCUGAUCCGGAAGGGGCGGGAGCGGCACUUGUUCCUCUUUGAGAUCUCCUUGGUUUUUAGCAAGGAGAUCAAAGAUUCUUCAGGACACACGAAAUAUGUUUACAAGAACAAGCUACUGACCUCAGAGCUGGGUGUGACCGAGCACGUGGAGGGCGAUCCCUGCAAAUUUGCCUUGUGGUCUGGGCGCACCCCAUCCUCAGACAAUAAAACAGUGCUGAAAGUAAGUACUGCUUUCUGCUAGGCACAAACUAGGGUUGGGGGUAAUAGAAGUGGGGGUGGGCAAGUGAUGCCUAAAAGCUAAGGCCCAGAGGCUCCUCUCUUGGGAAUGGCAGCAUCACAUGGGCAUUGAGAAGCAAAUUCUAUCAUGAAAGUAGACCCAGAAUCUCAAAGAUGCAUGAUCUCCUCAAGUGCAUGCACAUGUGUUACCAAGAGGGAAGAAAGCAGGGAGUGGCUUGCGGGGCCAGCUCAGCA
rnacentral:sRNA from 1 species